rnacentral:rRNA from 1 species
AUGUAUUUUCUUGUAGUUGCACCUUUACUGAAGGAUCUAUACAUAAUGGUAUGGGACCAUGAGUGUAAAAUGGAAAUGGACGAGGAGACGAGGAAAGAAGAAUCAUAUAGUGAAAACAAGGGUGUAGAGUGGGACUCAGCGGCAGCAGAUUUCCAACACCACAGUUUUGUCACACUCGUCAUGUUUGGCUUUGAAUCUGAAGAUUGCUUUGUUAGUUAUGUCAGACGUGUUCUAGCGGCGGCGGUCAAUCUAGAGGAUGUGUUCCUGUAUUGUGGGUUGGAGUGUGAUGAUUGCCCUGAGAAGAAGCUUGGCAGGCACCCCUAG